rnacentral:rRNA from 1 species
GAUGAACGCUGGCGGCGUGCCUAAUACAUGCAAGUCGAGCGAACAGACGAGGAGCUUGCUCCUCUGACGUUAGCGGCGGACGGGUGAGUAACACGUGGAUAACCUACCUAUAAGACUGGGAUAACUUCGGGAAACCGGAGCUAAUACCGGAUAAUAUAUUGAACCGCAUGGUUCAAUAGUGAAAGACGGUUUUGCGGUCACUUAUAGAUGGAUCCGCGCCGCAUUAGCUAGUUGGUAAGGUAACGGCUUACCAAGGCAACGAUGCGUAGCCGACCUGAGAGGGUGAUCGGCCACACUGGAACUGAGACACGGUCCAGACUCCUACGGGAGGCAGCAGUAGGGAAUCUUCCGCAAUGGGCGAAAGCCUGACGGAGCAACGCCGCGUGAAUGAUGAAGGUCUUCGGAUCGUAAAACUCUGUUAUUAGGGAAGAACAAAUGUGUAAGUAACUAUGCACGUCUUGACGGUACCUAAUCAGAAAGCCACGGCUAACUACGU